AGUGAACGCUGGCGGUAGGCCUAACACAUGCAAAUCGAACGGCAGCACAGUAAGAGCUUGCUCUUACGGGUGGCGAGUGGCGGACGGGUGAGGAAUACAUCGGAAUCUACUUUUUCGUGGGGGAUAACGUAGGGAAACUUACGCUAAUACCGCAUACGACCUGCGGGUGAAAGCAGGGGAUCUUCGGACCUUGCGCGAUUGAAUGAGCCGAUGUCGGAUUAGCUAGUUGGCGGGGUAAAGGCCCACCAAGGCGACGAUCCGUAGCUGGUCUGAGAGGAUGAUCAGCCACACUGGAACUGAGACACGGUCCAGACUCCUACGGGAGGCAGCAGUGGGGAAUAUUGGACAAUGGGCGCAAGCCUGAUCCAGCCAUACCGCGUGGGUGAAGAAGGCCUUCGGGUUGUAAAGCCCUUUUGUUGGGAAAGAAAAGCAGCAGGUUAAUACCCCGCUGUUCUGACGGUACCCAAAGAAUAAGCACCGGCUAACUUCGUG
rnacentral:rRNA from 1 species